AUUGAACGCUGGCGGAAUGCUUUACACAUGCAAGUCGAACGGCAGCACGGGUGCUUGCACCUGGUGGCGAGUGGCGAACGGGUGAGUAAUGCACCGGAACGUAUCCAAUAAUGGGGGAUAACGCACCGAAAGGUGUGCUAAUACCGCAUACGCCCUGAGGGGGAAAGCGGGGGAUCGUAAGACCUCGCGUUAAUGGAGCGGCCGAUGCCGGAUUAGCUAGUUGGUGAGGUAAAGGCUCACCAAGGCGACGAUCCGUAGCUGGUCUGAGAGGACGACCAGCCACACUGGAACUGAGACACGGUCCAGACUCCUACGGGAGGCAGCAGUGGGGAAUUUUGGACAAUGGGCGCAAGCCUGAUCCAGCCAUUCCGCGUGAGUGAAGAAGGGCCCUUCGGGUUGUUAAAGCUCUUUCGCAAGGAAGAAACUUAUCUCCUAAUACGAGUGAGGUUGACGGUACCUUGAUAAGAAGCACCGGCUAACUACGUGCCAGCAGCCGCGGUAAU
rnacentral:rRNA from 1 species